rnacentral:rRNA from 1 species
AGAGUUUGAUCCUGGCUCAGGAUGAACGCUAGCGACAGGCUUAACACAUGCAAGUCGAGGGGCAUCAUGAGGUAGCAAUACCUUGAUGGCGACCGGCGCACGGGUGAGUAACGCGUAUGCAACCUGCCCGAUACCGGGGUAUAGCCCAUGGAAACGUGGAUUAACACCCCAUAGUACUUUUAUCCUGCAUGGGAUGUGAGUUAAAUGUUCAAGGUAUCGGAUGGGCAUGCGUCCUAUUAGUUAGUUGGCGGGGUAACAGCCCACCAAGACGAUGAUAGGUAGGGGUUCUGAGAGGAAGGUCCCCCACAUUGGAACUGAGACACGGUCCAAACUCCUACGGGAGGCAGCAGUGAGGAAUAUUGGUCAAUGGACGUAAGUCUGAACCAGCCAAGUCGCGUGAGGGAAGACUGCCCUAUGGGUUGUAAACCUCUUUUAUAAGGGAAGAAUAAGUUCUACGUGUAGAAUGAUGCCUGUACCUUAUGAAUAAGCAUCGGCUAACUCCGUGCCAGCAGCCGCGGUAAUACGGAGGAUGCGAGCGUUAUCCGGAUUUAUUGGGUUUAAAGGGUGCGUAGGCGGUUUAUUAAGUUAGUGGUUAAAUAUUUGAGCUAAACUCAAUUGUGCCAUUAAUACUGGUAAACUGGAGUACAGACGAGGUAGGCGGAAUAAGUUAAGUAGCGGUGAAAUGCAUAGAUAUAACUUAGAACUCCGAUAGCGAAGGCAGCUUACCAGACUGUAACUGACGCUGAUGCACGAGAGCGUGGGUAGCGAACAGGAUUAGAUACCCUGGUAGUCCACGCCGUAAACGAUGCUCACUGGUUCUGUGCGAUAUAUUGUACGGGAUUAAGCGAAAGUAUUAAGUGAGCCACCUGGGGAGUACGUCGGCAACGAUGAAACUCAAAGGAAUUGACGGGGGCCCGCACAAGCGGAGGAACAUGUGGUUUAAUUCGAUGAUACGCGAGGAACCUUACCCGGGCUUGAACUGAGGGGGAAUGAGCCAGAGAUGACUCAGUCUUCGGACUCCCUUGGAGGUGCUGCAUGGUUGUCGUCAGCUCGUGCCGUGAGGUGUCGGCUUAAGUGCCAUAACGAGCGCAACCCUUAUCUUUAGUUACUAACAGGUCAUGCUGAGGACUCUAGAGAGACUGCCGUCGUAAGAUGUGAGGAAGGUGGGGAUGACGUCAAAUCAGCACGGCCCUUACGUCCGGGGCUACACACGUGUUACAAUGGGGGGUACAGAAGGCAGCUACACGGCGACGUGAUGCUAAUCCCAAAAACCUCUCUCAGUUCGGAUCGAAGUCUGCAACCCGACUUCGUGAAGCUGGAUUCGCUAGUAAUCGCGCAUCAGCCAUGGCGCGGUGAAUACGUUCCCGGGCCUUGUACACACCGCCCGUCAAGCCAUGGGAGCCGGGGGUACCUGAAGUGCGUAACCGCGAGGAGCGCCCUAGGGUAAAACUGGUGACUGGGGCUAAGUCGUAACAAGGUAGCCGUACCGGAAGGUGCGGCUG